rnacentral:rRNA from 1 species
GAUGAACGCUGGCGGCGUGCCUAAUACAUGCAAGUCGAGCGAACAGAUGAGGAGCUUGCUCCUCUGACGUUAGCGGCGGACGGGUGAGUAACACGUGGAUAACCUACCUAUAAGACUGGGAUAACUUCGGGAAACCGGAGCUAAUACCGGAUAAUAUAUUGAACCGCAUGGUUCAAUAGUGAAAGACGGUUUUGCUGUCACUUAUAGAUGGAUCCGCGCCGCAUUAGCUAGUUGGUAAGGUAACGGCUUACCAAGGCAACGGUGCGUAGCCGACCUGAGAGGGUGAUCGGCCACACUGGAACUGAGACACGGUCCAGACUCCUACGGGAGGCAGCAGUAGGGAAUCUUCCGCAAUGGGCGAAAGCCUGACGGAGCAACGCCGCGUGAGUGAUGAAGGUCUUCGGAUCGUAAAACUCUGUUAUUAGGGAAGAACAAAUGUGUAAGUAACUAUGCACGUCUUGACGGUACCUAAUCAGAAAGCCACGGCUAACUACGUG